UACGGGGGGGGCAAGCGUUGUUCGGAAUUACUGGGCGUAAAGGGCGCGUAGGCGGUGCUCUAAGUCGGAUGUGAAAACUCUGGGCUCAACCCAGAGCCUGCAUCCGAAACUGGAGUGCUAGAGUUCUGGAGGGGGUAGCGGAAUUCCUGGUGUAGCGGUGAAAUGCGUAGAUAUCGGGAGGAACACCAGUGGCGAAGGCGGCUUCCUGGCCUGUUCUUGACGCUGAGGCGCGAAAGCUAGGGGAGCAAACGGG
rnacentral:rRNA from 1 species